rnacentral:rRNA from 1 species
UGGGGAAUAUUGCACAAUGGGCGCAAGCCUGAUGCAGCCAUGCCGCGUGUAUGAAGAAGGCCUUCGGGUUGUAAAGUACUUUCAGCGGGGAGGAAGGCGAUAAGGUUAAUAACCUUGUCGAUUGACGUUACCCGCAGAAGAAGCACCGGCUAACUCCGUGCCAGCAGCCGCGGUAAUACGGAGGGUGCAAGCGUUAAUCGGAAUUACUGGGCGUAAAGCGCACGCAGGCGGUCUGUCAAGUCGGAUGUGAAAUCCCCGGGCUCAACCUGGGAACUGCAUUUGAAACUGGCAGGCUAGAGUCUUGUAGAGGGAGGUAGAAUUCCAGGUGUAGCGGUGAAAUGCGUAGAGAUCUGGAGGAAUACCGGUGGCGAAGGCGGCCCCCUGGACAAAUACUGACGCUCAGGUGCGAAAGCGUGGGGAGCAAACA